CCCUCUGUGGAGAUUUGUCUCGCUGUCCUCCUCUACGACGGAUUUCUCCCCGUAUGAUCGUUGAACGCCGGCGCAAAAUGGCGGCUCUAGAAAGACGGCGGCUUCUCACUUUGAUUGUGAGGGAUUGACACCAAAGCCUGACAUUUUAGAUCACUGAAAAAUGUUCUGAUAGCAAACUCUACUGGAGCUGCUGGAAACAUCUGGACCUUACAUCACCUCAUCUAUGACUGGCCAGUUAUCCAUUACAGGAAGACAAAAAGUACACCAAACAUCAAAAUGGUCUCAUAAAUGCAAGGUGCAUCGCUGAUACCUGCUUUUUUUAAAAAAGUGUUUUCAGGUGGACUUUUCCUUUAACAGCAGGGUUUCCCAGCCACCGUGGCCCAUAGAGACACAGAUGAGGUUUCCCACCCUGGUUAGUGAGCAGACAUACAUGGAAGACGCUGCACAGACUCUUACUGGUGAGGCUAGCGG